AUACGGGGAUCCGAGCGUUAUCCGGAUUUAUUGGGUUUAAAGGGUGCGCAGGCGGGAGAUUAAGUCGGCGGUGAAAUUUUGCAGCUCAACUGUAAAAGUGCCUUCGAAACUGGUUUCCUUGAGUGUAGAUGAAGUAGGCGGAAUUUGUGGUGUAGCGGUGAAAUGCAUAGAUAUCACGAGGAACUCCGAUUGCGCAGGCAGCUUACUAAACUACUACUGACGCUCAGGCACGAAGGCGUGGGGAUCAAACAGGAUUAGAUACCCUGGUAGUCCACGCAGUAAACGAUGAUUACUAGCUGUUUGCGAUACAAUGUAAGCGGCUGAGCGAAAGCGUUAAGUAAUCCACCUGGGGAGUACGUUCGCAAGAAUGAAACUCAAAGGAAUUGACGGGG
rnacentral:rRNA from 1 species